UACGGGGGGGGCAAGCGUUGUUCGGAAUUACUGGGCGUAAAGGGUUUGUAGGUGGCUUGCUAAGUCAGACGUGAAAUCCCUCAGCUUAACUGAGGAACUGCGUCUGAGACUGGCAAGCUUGAGUGCAGGAGAGGAACGCGGAAUUCCAGGUGUAGCGGUGAAAUGCGUAGAUAUCUGGAGGAACACCGGUGGCGAAGGCGGCGUUCUGGACUGUAACUGACACUGAUGUGCGAAAGCGUGGGGAGCAAACAGG
rnacentral:rRNA from 1 species